rnacentral:lncRNA from 1 species
CAGUUUUAUAAAUAAUCUAGAUAAAUGAUUAAAAUAAAAUAAUUAGGUAAAUGCAAUGGGCUAAAUACUUAUAGACAAACUCAUAAUUUAGAAUCUAAAGUUAUAUUAAAUUAAAUAAUAGAUUUAGCAGGACAUGAUGUUCUUUUUAGACCCAGGAGUCAAAGCCCUGUAACUCAAUGUCACAAAGACUUUAAAAGCACAUAUAGGACUGGGCACAGUGGUUCAUGCCUGUAAUCCCAGCACUUUGGGAGGCCAAGGCGGGCGGAUCACUUGGGCUCAGCAGUUCGAGACCAGCCUGGCCAACAUGGUGAAACCCCAUCUCUACUAAAAAUACAGAAACUAGCCAGGCAUGGUGGGGUAUGCCUGUAAUCUCAGUUACUAGGAAGACUGAGGCAGAUGAGUCACUGUAACCUAGAUUGCAGUGAGCUGAGAUUAUGCCACUGCACUCCAGCCUGGGUAACACAGUGAGACUCCAUCUCUCAAAAAAAAACAAAACAAACAAACAAAAAAAACAAAAAAACACAUACAGGCACAUAUAGGAGGAUACAAGGAUGUAGUAACCUUAAUUAAUUUUUUUAAAUCUCAGUUUUUCCUAAGCAAACUAGACUUAAUAAUAAUAAUAAUAAGGGAGGAGACCACCCCUCAUAUCAUCUUAUGCCCAAUUUCUGCCUUCAAAGAAAGAAGAAGUAAAAACUAAAUGCAGAAAUGAAAUCCACAGGCAGACAGCCUGGCGCUGCACCCUGGGCCUGGUAGUUAAAGAUCGACCCCUGACCUAAUUGGUUAUGUUAUCUAUAGAUUACAGACAUUGUAUAGAAAUGCACUGUGAAAAUCUCUAUCUUGUUUUGUUCUGAUCUAAUUACUGGUACAUGCAGCCCCCAGUCACGUACCCUCUGCUUGCUCAAUCAAUCACGACCCUCUCACAUGCACCCCCUUAGAGUUGUGAGCCCUUAAAAGAGACAGGAAUUGCUCACUUGGGGAGCUAGGCUUUUGAGACAGGAGUCUUGCCAAUGCUCCCAGCUGAAUAAACUCCUUCCUUCUUUAACUUGGUGUCUAAGGAGUUUUGUCUGUGGCUUGCCCUGCUACAAUAACAUAGGAACUAUUUCAAUAAAACGUAAAAUCUGUUAGGCCAGUUACCAAAAGACAAAAGAAAAGACCUUCUACGGUACACAAAAUAUAAUGUUGGAAGAAAACAUUGUUAGCAUCAGGCCACAAAAAAACAGAACCUCAGGAGGAAAAAAAAAUUAUGUGAGCUAAAAUGAGUUGAUGGGAAGUGUUAAUGUUUUGUGCCUCAAGAGG